rnacentral:lncRNA from 1 species
UUUGUAGUAUAACAUAGGCUAAAACACUGGGUAGUUCAGGACAAUUUUCUUUGAAGGCCUGCAAAAAGAAAAAUCAAUUUUCUAAGACAAAUCUGUUGAAAACUGAGCUUCCAUGUCUAAAUUGAAGUAGGCAAUGAUUUUUUCUUUUUACUUUCAAAUUGCUCUAGGCAUUUCUAGAGUGGCAAAAAAAUACAUACUAAUUUCACCUUUUUGGAUUAAAAGUAAACACUAUUAAAUGAAUGCAAUUUUGGUAAUUUAUAAAUAUUUUACUAGAAAUUCAUUUAUAAUUUACCUAUUUUAUAAACUUUUUUAUGUCUUUAAAGUCGUAUCUUAUGAAAUUUAGAUAAGAGGAUGAAGAAUGGGAAAAGACGGUGAGUUAUAGAAAAGGGAGAGAAGGCAAAAUGUGAGAUAGGCAGAGAAGAAUAAAUCAUGAAAAAAAGAGCAGAGACAAGAAAGAAAAGAAAGGACUCUUUCCCCAGAAGUAAGGACUAGAGAAAAAGCCAUCAUGAGCCAGUCUAGCUUCUUUCCUCCACUGUUGCUGUGUCAACUGUAAUUGACUGAUAUUUUUCAGGCUGGCUUGCAGACCUUAGAGGUUGUAGCCAUUAUUCUUUCCUGAAUACUCAUUGCAUAGGCUCCUGUGCAGCCUCUUCCCUUCAGGGCUGCACUGACUAAGCUUCCUCAGUGUCAAAGCUUCUAAGCUUUCUAAAUGAGAGACUUCUGUUCUAAUCACAUUAGCUAUCAGAUGUUCUCACCAGUGUUAAUUCUCACCUGGAACAAAGUCUUUCUCUGUCUUUGUUACUCAUGUUGUCUCAUUUGGAGUAAAUUGAAAGUGUGGCUAACUGUAAAUCAGUAACCUGUGCCUCUCUCCGUGGAGUGUUUUGUUCUCUUCAGUGCUAUUCUGCUUCCCGAUUCUGCCACCUCAGGGAUUCUUCACAGUUGCCUGAAAGAGCCAGAGCCAGAUGGAAACAGGAGUGAGAAAGGUAGAAGAUGAAUGAUUGAGGAUGAAAACUCCCUCAAGAGAUUUUAUUUGACCAACAUCAAUUCAAUGAAAGCUGUGAUUAAGAGGUUUCACACGGAUGGAGCUGGAAGCCAUUAUCCUCAGCAAACUAACACAGGAACAGAAAACCAAAUAGCGCAUCUUCUCACUUGCAAGUGGGAGCUGAACAAUGAGAACACAUGGACACAGGGAGGGGAAAAGCACACACCGGGGACUGUCAGGGGAGGGCAGGGGGAGGAAGAGCAUCAUGAUAAACAGCUAAUGCAUGCAUGGCUUAAUACCUAGGGGAUGUGUUGAUAGGUGCAGCCAACCACCAUGGCACACGUUUACCUAUGUAACAAACCUACACAUCCUGCACAUGUACCCCGAACUUAAAUUUAAUUAAAAAAGAAAAAAGUUUCAAAUUAUAGUGUUAGCUAGAACUGGU